UGGGGAAUAUUGGACAAUGGGGGAAACUCUGAUCCAGCAAUGCCGCGUGAGUGAAGAAGGCCUUAGGGUUGUAAAGCUCUUUCGCCCGCGAAGAUAAUGACGGUAGCGGGAGAAGAAGCCCCGGCUAACUCCGUGCCAGCAGCCGCGGUAAUGCGGAGGGGGCUAGCGUUGUUCGGAAUUACUGGGCGUAAAGCGUACGUAGGCGGAUGCGCAAGUUGGGGGUGAAAUCCCGGGGCUUAACCUCGGAAUUGCCCUCAAAACUGCACGUCUUGAGACCGAGAGAGGUAGGGGGAAUUCCUAGUGUAGAGGUGAAAUUCGUAGAUAUUAGGAAGAACACCAGUGGCGAAGGCGCCUUACUGGCUCGGUACUGACGCUGAGGUACGAAAGCGUGGGGAGCAAACA
rnacentral:rRNA from 1 species